GAUACGCGAGGAACCUUACCUGGGCUUAAAUGUAAAACGACGGAUCGGGAAACUGAUCUUUCUUAGGACGCUUUGCAAGGUGCUGCAUGGCUGUCGUCAGCUCGUGCCGUGAGGUGUCGGGUUAAGUCCCAUAACGAGCGCAACCCCUAUUCUUAGUUACCAGCACGUAAUGGUGGGGACUCUAAGAAGACUGCCUGGGUAACCAGAGAGGAAGGUGGGGAUGACGUCAAAUCAGCACGGCCCUUACGUCCAGGGCUACACACGUGUUACAAUGGUCGGUACAAAGGGCAGCUACAUGGCAACAUGAUGCUAAUCUCUAAAACCGGUCUCAGUUCGGAUCGGAGUCUGCAACUCGACUUCGUGAAGCUGGAUUCGCUAGUAAUCGCGCAUCAGCCACGGCGCGGUGAAUACGUUCCCGGGCCUUGUACACACCGCCCGUCAAGCCAUGGAAGCUGGGGGUACCUGAAGUCCGUAACCGUAAGGAGCGGCCUAGGGUAAAACUAGUAACUGGGGCUAAGUCGUAACAAGGUAGCCGUACCGGAAGGUGUGGCUGGAACACCUCCUUUUUAGA
rnacentral:rRNA from 1 species